UAGGGCUGAGCCUCCUGCUAUUCUGUGAGCAAAAAUAAUUAUAACCAGCCCUCCCAUCCCCUUCGCCUCUUUUCCUCCCUGUUCCACCUCAGUCCAUCCAUCUUGGUCUCAACCUCUCAGGGGUUCUUUCUUCCCCCAAGGCUCUUUCUCGCUACUUAAUCAUCUCCGUCCCUUCUGUCGCUCUCUGGGGCUGCCGGUUUCAGGACUUUGAUCAUUUCCUCCGAUUAUUUCCCUUCUGGUGUUUGCAGGCAGGCGAUCAGCGGGCGCUCUGGUGACCCAGAGUUCCCCAGACCUGACCGUGAUGGAGGGCAGCAAAGUGACCCUCCAGUGCCAUUACGACAAAUCGUAUUCAAACCCAGAUUUAUACUGGUAUCGGAGGAGGCCGGACCAUUCCCUCCAGUUCAUCCUUUACAGGGAUAACACCAGGUCCACGGAUGCGGAUUUCGUCCAGGGGCGGUUCUCUGUGCUACACAACAAAGACCAGGGUGCUUUCCACUUGGAGAUCGCAGCCGUGCGAGUUGAAGACGGCUCCGUCUAUUACUGCGUGGUGAAACCCACAGUGAUGCAGCGAUCCAGCCGAGCUAUACGCUAACUCCCCUGGUGGGAGAUCCCAUCUGCUGCCGCUGAA